rnacentral:piRNA from 1 species
CAGAACAGUGACAUGCUAUGUUUAUGUGA